rnacentral:rRNA from 1 species
AACGUAGGAGACGAACGUUAUCCGGAGUUACUGGGCGUAAAGGGCGUGCAGGCGGUCUGAUAAGUUCGGCGUGAAAUAUUCCGGCUUAACCGGGAUAGGUCGUCGGAGACUGUCGGACUAGAGGGCGAUAGAGGCGUGUGGAAUUCCGGGUGUAGUGGUGAAAUGCGUAGAGAUCCGGAGGAACACCAGUGGCGAAGGCGACACGCUGGGUCGCACCUGACGCUAAAACGCGACAGCAUGGGGAGCGAACGGG